CGCCAUGCUUGCCUGCAAAUGGGAUGAAUUUCUGCAGGCAUGAGUGCCUUCCCUGUCUGACCUGCAGAAUCUUGUGCGAGAAAAUAUUGCACUCAAUCAAGAUGCCAUCAGAGCAGCCAGAGGCAGCGCAGCAGCGUGCGAGUUUGUCUGGGGCCAGACAGAGGUGUCAGAGCUCCCUCCAGAGUGGCGCACACCAGACUUGAUUGUGGCAGCGGAUGUGGUGUACCGUCGAGAGCUCUUUCAGCCCUUGCUGCACGCCCUCAGAGCGCUAGGUGUGAGGGCAUUCACCCCUGCUUGGCACAUAGAAAAGCGGAGCUAUCCUCUAAUCUGGUAGAUAGCUGCAGGGGGACUCCAACAGAAAGACCCAUCGGUGCAUGCAUUUGCCCUUGGGCCUCUUCUCACAACACGUCAUUGCAGCAGCCUGUUCCGCGCUGCACACAAAGUUAUGAAGUGAAGGUGGUGUUUCAGGCAGCCCCGGGACAAGGAUACUUCUGUCACAUGUGAGGCGAUGGAAGAGUGACAAGCUUUUCUUUCAGCAAGCACGCAAGCUGUGGGACGUGACAGACAUUUCGGACUGUGCGGAGGUGGCGGGUGGACAUAGUGCCUCUCACUCCAGGGGAGCUCUGCGGCUUUUUGAGCUGAAGCAGCGUGCAAAAUAAUGAGAGUCUUGGCCUACAGAUUGGUUCUGUGCUGCUUGCAUAACUCAUGCCAGCCAGGAAGGAACGUUGAAAUAGUAAAAUGGUUUGAUGUGGAAUGAGUGUCGAAUAGCUGUGACUAGAUGUGGCAACAUGUGCCAUGAACACGUCAUGGUUGUAAAUUACAUUGUAAAUUAGAUUACAUACGUUUGUGAAAACCUUGCCUCCUGCAUGAACGAGGAGACAUGUUUUGCCUCAGGAUGCUGCAGCAUUUGUUCCUAAUCACGUUUCAUCAGCACAGCAUAUUUCUUCUGCCAAGGCUGUCGGGCCCUCCAUACAAGUGGUGCAUCAAACUCUUAUUAACGACAUCAAAAUUGCAAGCUUUCAGUAAAUCCCGCAUUUGAUCACCACUUCUGCUGCUACUCAUUGAGCCCCUACCAUUGAAGUUACUUGUCACAAACAUGACGUGCUGGGAUUUAACCGUAUGGGUGCCCACAGGCUGCCGCAUAGCUAGGUUGCAAUACAUCUACACGCUUCACAAUGUUCGGCGCCUGACAGAAGAGGUGAGAACAAGCAAAUAAUUGCGGGAAGACAAACAAAAUCAAAGUGAUGGAGCGUGUGGCCCCUCUCGUUUCACGCGGCACGAUCCAAACAAGCCGUGACCAGCGCUUUACAAUAU
rnacentral:lncRNA from 1 species